rnacentral:rRNA from 1 species
GAUGAACGCUAGCUACAGGCUUAACACAUGCAAGUCGAGGGGCAGCAUGACGAUAGCUUGCUAUUGUUGAUGGCGACCGGCGCACGGGUGAGUAACGCGUAUCCAACCUGCCCUUGUCCAUCGGAUAACCCGUCGAAAGGCGGCCUAACACGAUAUGCAGUUCUCCGCAGGCAUCUAACGAGAAAGAAAUGUAAAGGAGAAGGAUGGGGAUGCGUCUGAUUAGCUUGUUGGCGGGGUAACGGCCCACCAAGGCGACGAUCAGUAGGGGUUCUGAGAGACAGGUCCCCACCAUUGGAACUGAGACACGGUCCAAACUCCUACGGGAGGCAGCAGUGAGGAAUAUGGGUCAAUGGGCGAGAGCCUGAACCAGCCAAGUAGCGUGCAGGACGACGGCCCUAUGGGUUGUAAACUGCUUUUAUGCGGGGAUAAGGUGAGCCGCGUGUGGCUUAUUGCAGGUACCGCAUGAAUAAGGACCGGCUAAUUCCGUGCCAGCCGCCGCCGUAA